rnacentral:lncRNA from 1 species
UCCAGAAUUCCUCGAGGACCGGUGCAACAGCCUCUGGAGGAUCGGAUCUUCCCUCCCACGGUCUCUGCAGUCUAUAGCACGGUAACACAAGUAGCAAGACAGCCAGGACCCCCGACCCCUUCCCCUUACUCAGCACAUGAAAUAAACAAGGGGCACCCCAAUCUUGCGGCCACGCCCCCGGGACAUGCAUCGUCCCCUGGACUCUCUCAAACCCCUUAUCCCUCUGGACAGAAUGCAGGUCCAGCCACAUUGGUCUAUCCUCAAGCCCCUCAGACAAUGAAUUCACAACCUCAGGCCCGGUCUCCGUUUUUCCAGAGGCCUCAAAUCCAGCCUCCCAGAGCGGCCAUCCCAAACAGCAGUCCUUCCCUCCGUCCUGGUGCGCAGACCCCCACCGCCGUGUAUCAGGCC